rnacentral:ncRNA from 2 species
UUUACACAAUGGGGUGCCCUAACACGACGGGCUGAGAUUAUACCCUUAACACCUGAACCGGGUAAUGCCGGCGGAGGGAACUGAAAAUGCUGAAGU